AACGAACGCUGGCGGCAGGCUUAACACAUGCAAGUCGAACGGAUCCUUCGGGAUUAGUGGCAGACGGGUGAGUAACGCGUGGGAACGUACCCUUUGCUACGGAAUAACUCAGGGAAACUUGAGCUAAUACCGUAUGUGCCCUACGGGGGAAAGAUUUAUCGGCAAAGGAUCGGCCCGCGUUGGAUUAGCUAGUUGGUGGGGUAAUGGCCUACCAAGGCGACGAUCCAUAGCUGGUCUGAGAGGAUGAUCAGCCACACUGGGACUGAGACACGGCCCAGACUCCUACGGGAGGCAGCAGUGGGGAAUAUUGGACAAGGGGCGCAAGCCUGAUCCAGCCAUGCCGCGUGAGUGAUGAAGGUCUUAGGAUUGUAAAGCUCUUUCACAGGUGAAGAUAAUGACGGUAGCCGGAGAAGAAGCCCCGGCUAACUUCGUG
rnacentral:rRNA from 1 species